rnacentral:rRNA from 1 species
UACGUAGGGUGCGAGCGUUAAUCGGAAUUACUGGGCGUAAAGCGUGCGCAGGCGGUUGUGCAAGACAGAUGUGAAAUCCCCGGGCUUAACCUGGGAACUGCAUUUGUGACUGCACGGCUAGAGUGUGUCAGAGGGGGGUAGAAUUCCACGUGUAGCAGUGAAAUGCGUAGAGAUGCGGAGGAACACCGAUGGCGAAGGCAGCCCCCUGGGCUAACACUGACGCUCAGGCACGAAAGCGUGGGGAGCAAACAGG